UACGGUAGGUGGCAAGCCGGUUGAUCCGGAAUUAGCUAGGGUGUAAACGCGUGUAGGCGGCAGGCCAAGUCUGCGGUGAAAGCGCCCGGCUCAACUGGGCGAGGUCCGUGGAAACUGGUCAGCUGGAGGACGGUAGAGGCGAGUGGAAUUCCCGGUGUAGUGGUGAAAUGCGUAGAGAUCGGGAGGAACACCUGUGGCGAAGGCGGCUCGCUGGGCCGGUCCUGACGCUGAGACGCGAAGGCGUGGGGAGCGAACGGG
rnacentral:rRNA from 1 species